UUCUUCUUUUCUUUACCAAGGAGCCUCUAUAUAAAAACCUGGUAACUUCUACACCGUGGGCAUUAUCAGUGUAGAAAUAAAUGGAUGAAAUCGGUGUAAGUGGAAAAUAUCAACAGCUUUAGCCAAAUGACCUGUAUUUGUUUGUUAUUCAUAUGAGAUUACGAAAGUUCGACCUUGGAGAGCGAGCAGAUACGCGUUAUAUAUCGGUGGAGUGUGUCACGAGAUAAAUAUCGCCAAGUGCAAUUGAGUGGGGUGUAAAAGAUUCGAGCAAUCACGAAAAAAAUAAGACCAAUGCUUAGAUAAGCAAAGGAAAAACCACAGCAGUCAAGUAAUAGCUAUAAGUGGAGGAACAUUUGUAAGAAAGGUGACAGUAUUUAAGUUACCCAAGAACCAAGUGAAUAAGAACCAAGUGUGAAGAUGAACAAUGUGAAUAUCUGGAUGGAGUACCGGCAAAUGAAGUGGAUGAAAAAGAGGGUCAGGAGACAAAGAAAGAGGCAGUGGAGGUAAAAGCUGGAGAUGGAGAAGUUGUGGAAACCAUGAUUGAGCUGGCCAGUAAGGAGCAAUCAGAAGGACCUAACACAGAAUAGUAGGGAUGAGGGAAAUCAUCAAUGGAAUUAAGAGGAUGGGGGGAUGAACAUACAAAAACCUGUGGGACCAAUCCUGGCCAAAAGCAUCAACAGCCCUAGCUAGAGAAAGAGGUACCAAAUACCAAAUAGAAGUAAUGGGAGGUUAAGAGAUGUAGUAAAGGGGUCUAUGUGGAAGACAAAGCCAUCCGAAAAUGAGAAUCGAGUAAACACUUCAAUGUACAGAAUGUGUCAGGAUGAGAAAAACAAAUUGCAAUCCAAGUGAGAGUACCCAGAACAUGAGGAAGUAUGAUCAGGUGCCAACCACAAGAGCAAUGCCUUCCAAAAAGGGACAAAAGAAAGAAAGGAACAUACCAUAAAUCUUAUUAGUAUUGGAAGGAAAACAAACAGCAGUGCCACAUCCAAUACUAACCCAAAAGCAAAGAAGCCAAGUGAAGAGGGAAUGAACUGAAGAUGGCAAAAACCCUAACAUGGGGGGAAGAAAGAGGAGCUAUCCCUCAGCAAACCUGAAAUGUAAACAGAACACUGAAUAAAGGGAAACAUAAGACAUCAAAAGUAUCAGUGACGAAAGGGGAAAAAAGAAUGACAAAUGCCAGAAGAAAUUUGUCUGAAGUUAAACUAAAGUAAAAUUGAAAGCCCAUAGAAGGUAACUCUAAAGAGAUAAAAGGAACAGCACAGAAAACAUAAAUAUAUUAUUCUGCAAAAUGUGUAAAGGAGGUCUAGCAGAUACUACAAUAGA